UUAUUAUGAGAGUUUGAUCCUGGCUCAGGACGAACGCUGGCGGCGUGCCUAAUACAUGCAAGUCGAACGCUUCUUUCCUCCCGAGUGCUUGCACUCAAUUGGAAAGAGGAGUGGCGGACGGGUGAGUAACACGUGGGUAACCUACCCAUCAGAGGGGGAUAACACUUGGAAACAGGUGCUAAUACCGCAUAACAGUUUAUGCCGCAUGGCAUAAGAGUGAAAGGCGCUUUCGGGUGUCGCUGAUGGAUGGACCCGCGGUGCAUUAGCUAGUUGGUGAGGUAACGGCUCACCAAGGCCACGAUGCAUAGCCGACCUGAGAGGGUGAUCGGCCACACUGGGACUGAGACACGGCCCAGACUCCUACGGGA
rnacentral:rRNA from 1 species